ensembl:vault_RNA Vault Vault RNA
GCGCUGGUUUAGCUCAGUGGUUACUUCUCAGCAAUGUCUAUACUCUCCAAGCCUUCGUCAGAGGGUUCGAACCACGGGCGCUGUCUAGCGCUUUU